rnacentral:rRNA from 1 species
ACUGUCGGUGGGGAUUAGUGGCGAACGGGGUGAGUAACACGUGGGCAAUCUGCCCUGCACUCUGGGACAAGCCCUGGAAACGGGGUCUAAUACCGGAUACUGACCUUCACGGGCAUCUGUGAGGGUCGAAAGCUCCGGCGGUGCAGGAUGAGCCCGCGGCCUAUCAGCUUGUUGGUGAGGUAACGGCUCACCAAGGCGACGACGGGUAGCCGGCCUGAGAGGGCGACCGGCCACACUGGGACUGAGACACGGCCCAGACUACUACGGGAGGCAGCAGUGGGGAAUAUUGCACAAUGGGCGAAAGCCUGAUGCAGCGACGCCGCGUGAGGGAUGACGGCCUUCGGGUUGUAAACCUCUUUCAGCAGGGAAGAAGCGAAAGUGACGGUACCUGCAGAAGAAGCGCCGGCUAACUACGUGCCAGCAGCCGCGGUAAUACGUAGGGCGCAAGCGUUGUCCGGAAUUAUUGGGCGUAAAGAGCUCGUAGGCGGCUUGUCACGUCGGUUGUGAAAGCCCGGGGCUUAACCCCGGGUCUGCAGUCGAUACGGGCAGGCUAGAGUUCGGUAGGGGAGAUCGGAAUUCCUGGUGUAGCGGUGAAAUGCGCAGAUAUCAGGAGGAACACCGGUGGCGAAGGCGGAUCUCUGGGCCGAUACUGACGCUGAGGAGCGAAAGCGUGGGGAGCGAACAGGAUUAGAUACCCUGGUAGUCCACGCCGUAAACGGUGGGCACUAGGUGUGGGCAACAUUCCACGUUGUCCGUGCCGCAGCUAACGCAUUAAGUGCCCCGCCUGGGGAGUACGGCCGCAAGGCUAAAACUCAAAGGAAUUGACGGGGGCCCGCACAAGCGGCGGAGCAUGUGGCUUAAUUCGACGCAACGCGAAGAACCUUACCAAGGCUUGACAUACACCGGAAACGUCCAGAGAUGGGCGCCCCCUUGUGGUCGGUGUACAGGUGGUGCAUGGCUGUCGUCAGCUCGUGUCGUGAGAUGUUGGGUUAAGUCCCGCAACGAGCGCAACCCUUGUCCCGUGUUGCCAGCAGGCCCUUGUGGUGCUGGGGACUCACGGGAGACCGCCGGGGUCAACUCGGAGGAAGGUGGGGACGACGUCAAGUCAUCAUGCCCCUUAUGUCUUGGGCUGCACACGUGCUACAAUGGCCGGUACAAUGAGCUGCGAUACCGCAAGGUGGAGCGAAUCUCAAAAAGCCGGUCUCAGUUCGGAUUGGGGUCUG